rnacentral:rRNA from 1 species
CCACGUUCAGAUUGCAGUCUGCAACUCGACUGCAUGAAGUCGGAAUCGCUAGUAAUCGCGGAUCAGCAUGCCGCGGUGAAUACGUUCCCGGGCCUUGUACACACCGCCCGUCACACCAUGAGAGUCGGGAACACCCGAAGUCCGUAGCCUAACCGCAAGGGGGGCGCGGCCGAAGGUGGGUUCGAUAAUUGGGGUGAAGUCGUAACAAGGUAUC